UACAGAGGUCCCGAGCGUUGUUCGGAUUUACUGGGCGUAAAGGGUGCGUAGGCGGUUGGGUAAGUCUGAUGUGAAAUCCCCGGGCUCAACCCGGGAACGGCAUUAGAAACUGCCCGGCUAGAGGGUUGGAGGGGGGACUGGAAUUCCCGGUGUAGCAGUGAAAUGCGUAGAUAUCGGGAGGAACGCCAGUGGCGAAGGCGAGUCCCUGGACAACCCCUGACGCUGAGGCACGAAAGCUAGGGGAGCAAACAGG
rnacentral:rRNA from 1 species